AACGUGCCCGGGGUCAGUGCAAGUCUGAACCGGCGGUGACAGUCCGCGACCCGAGAGGCCCGCUCGAACCCGAGCGGCCGAUCGGCUGAGCUGGUGGAAUUCCAGCACCGACGGUGAGAGUCCGGAGGGGAGGCGCACGUG
rnacentral:ncRNA from 2 species